UACAGAGGUGGCAAGCGUUGUUCGGAUUUAUUGGGCGUAAAGGGUCCGUAGGCGGCCUGAAAAGUCGGAUGUGAAAGCCCACAGCUUAACUGUGGAACGGCAUUCGAAACUUUCAGGCUCGAGUGUGAAAGGGGUAAAGGGAAUUCCCGGUGUAAGGGUGAAAUCUGUAGAGAUCGGGAAGAACACCAGUCGCGAAGGCGCUUUACUGGUUCACAACUGACGCUGAGGGACGAAAGCUAGGGGAGCAAACGGGAUUAGAUACCCCGGUAGUCCUAGCCGUAAACGAUGAUCACUAGGUGUUGGGAGGGUUAAACCUUUCGGUGCCGCAGCUAACGCAUUAAGUGAUCCGCCUGGGAAGUACAGUCGCAAGGCUGAA
rnacentral:rRNA from 1 species